UUAUGAAAAUCAUAUCGUAAUAAAGUGUCGUUUCAUAUACUACUUUUCCUGAAUCGGUCAUUUUUACUAUAGAAAUUUGUUCAUUAAAAGGAAUGAUUUAAAGUAUCUGGUAACAAGUAUUUACUAUUUUGCAAUAAACACAUAAAAUUUUAGUACCGCCUAGCCAACGACAUUUACACUUAUUUAAUUCUAAGAAUCUUCUAAAACUCGAAUAAAUUAUCGGUGUUUUUGAUGGCCGUCAUCAGGAAAUGAUUGAUUCAUAAUCGAUACCAGCGCUUUACAGAGACCUACUGUCUAGAGAUACAUCUACGAAGUUAUAUAAUUGAGAUUAUAUAAGACUUGUAUAAAAAACGAGGUAUACCAAAAACUGUUUGGUGCCAACCCUAUUCCCCUGAUCAGCAUUUUGUUGACUCGAAUUAACGAGGUUACGCGUUUAUUGACUCACCACAAGCGUAACCAUAGUCUGCAAUGGAAUGCCCACUCCUUCCAAUCAUACAAAGCAAAGUGGUAUGUAAAAGAAGACCUAGCCGCAGAUGUGGUUAUCGAAUGUUCGGAAAUGGUUUGGCUACAGCACCAAAUCAUAGCCACCCAUGAUGGUUACCAACAUUCGAUAGGCUCUAUAAGUGGAAUAAAAAGCUUUCCAUUUUAUAAAAUAUUACAUUUUUCGUAUUUAAAUAUUGCUUAUAAUAUUUUAUUAUUUGUUGUUUGCAAGCCUGGCUAAUUUCUGAUACCACGAUCAUUUAAAAUAGCUGUACUAUUACUAAAAUAUCUGAAAUCAUUUCUUUUAAUAGCUUAAUACGCAAGCAAUUAAUUUCUUUCGAAAUAUAAUUAAUUAGAAUUAAAAUCACGAACCUGACCUUUGGAUUUCGUUUAUUUGUAUUACGAAAAUACCACUUCAAGCCAAGUUACCCUGACUAAAUCACGAAACAAGUUUAAUAAAAUUGGAGAAAGGAUG